rnacentral:lncRNA from 1 species
UUUUUUUUAUUUUCGUGGGGAAAUUUGGGAUUUUUGGGGUAAAUUUAGGAUUUUUUGGGGAUCCCGAAUUUUGGGGACCCCCUAAAUUUGGGGUGCAGGGUGAGGGGGAUGGGCGAGGUUGGAGGGGAAAUUUGGGUUAAUUUUGAGGAGAAAUUUGGGAUUUUUAUGGGAUUUUUCUUAUUUUCGUGGGGAAAUUUGGGAUUUUUGGGGUAAAUUUAGGAAUUUUUGGGGAUCCCGAAUUUUGGGGUCCCCCUAAAUUUGGGGUUCAGGGUACGUGAGGGGGAUGGGCGAGUCCGGGGGGAAAUUUGGGUUAAUUUUGAGGGGAAAUUUGGGAUUUUUAUGGGAUUUUUUUUUAUUUUUGGGGGGAAUUUUGGGAUUUUUGGGGUAAAUUUGGGAUUUUUUGGGGAUCCCGAAUUUUGGGGACCCCCAAAUUUGGGGUUCAGGGUACGUGAGGGGGAUGAACGAGCUCCUGGCCCCUCUCGCCGCCGUCUGCGCCGACGAGGCCGAAGCGUUUUGGGCCUUUUGCGCCGUCAUGGAGAUGGUGGGUGAGAAUUUCGGGCCGGGCCCGGAGGGGCUGCGCAGGAAUUUGGGGCUUUUGGGGGCGCUGCUGGAGCAGCUGAACCCCGACCUCGUCCCGCUGCUGGCCCAGCGGUGGCCGCGCCGUUGCUGCUCUCGGUGGCUCCAGUUCCGUUUCCAGCGGCUGCUGGGACAGGAGGGGACAGAGCGGCUCUGGGAGGUACCGGGGACAGCGGGGACAGCGGGGACAUUGGUGGGGACAUCAAUGGGGACACUGGGGACAGCGGGGACAUUGGGGACAUUGGGGACAUCAAUGGGGACAUUGGGGACAUUAAUGGGGACAUGGGGACACUGGGGAGAUUGGGGACAUUGGGGACAUCGGGGACAUCGGGGGGAUUUGGGGACAUUGGAGACAUUGGGGGACAUUGGGGACAUUGGGGAUAUUGGGGACAUUUGGGAACAUUUUGGGGACAUUUUGGGAGGUUUUUGGGACAUUGGGGACAUUUGGGACAUUACGGGGACAUUGGGGAUAUUGGGGACAUUGGGGGCAUUGGGGACAUUUGGGACACUUUGGGGACAUUUUGGGACAUUUUGGGAGAUUUGGGGACAUUUUGGGGCAUUGGGGACAUUGGGGACAUUUUGGGGAAUUUGGGACAUUGGGACAUCAAUGGGGACAUUUUGGGGUGUCUUUGGGGUGGUUUUGAGGGGAUUUGGGGACAUUUGGGGACAAUUUGGGGACAAUUUGGGGGGAUUGGGGACAUUGGGGACAUUGGAGACAUUUGGGGACAUUUUGGGUGGGUUUGGGGACCUUUUGGGGACAUUUUGGGGACAAUUUUGGGACAUUUGGGGACAUUUGGGACAUUCAGGGCAGCUUUGA